rnacentral:lncRNA from 1 species
AUGCAGCUUCUUAAUUCUUCACUUUCUGCCAUCAGAGUGGUAUCCUUUGCAUAUCUGAAAUUGUUGAUACUUCUGACAUCCUUAACUCCAGCUUUUGAUUUAUCCAGCCUGUAUGACCUUCACCCUGGAAAUAAUAGACCAAAAAUGAUUUAUAGGAAAAUGAUAUCCAAGACAAGAAAGGAGAUAACAAGAAAGUCCCUAUCUGCCCUUAAUGAAUCCAAGUCACCUGGCCCAGAUGAAUGACUUCCUUGAAUCCUGAAAAAAACUGACAGAUGGGAUUGCUGAGCCAGUAUCAAUGAUAUAUGAAAGACCAGUGAAAAUGGGAGAGGUGACACAAGACUGGAAAGAGGACAAAUGUCUGAAUUUCCAAAAACGGAGAAAAUUAAAUCUUCAAAAUAUAGUCUGAAUUGUUUGACUUAAUAAUUCCUCAAAAACAAUGUAGAAUGGAUCAUUAAUGAUAUGUUUGUCAAACAUCAAGAAAGGGAAGCAGUGAUUACCAAGAGCCAAUAUGUCUUCAUCAAAGACCAGGAAUGCCAAUUAAUA